UACGUAGGUGGCAAGCGUUGUCCGGAAUUAUUGGGCGUAAAGCGCGCGCAGGCGGUCCUUUAAGUCUGAUGUGAAAGCCCACGGCUCAACCGUGGAGGGUCAUUGGAAACUGGGGGACUUGAGUGCAGAAGAGGAGAGUGGAAUUCCACGUGUAGCGGUGAAAUGCGUAGAGAUGAGGAGGAACACCAGUGGCGAAGGCGGCAUCCUGGACCGGUAUUGACGCUGAGGCGCGAAAGCCAGGGGAGCAAACGGG
rnacentral:rRNA from 1 species